UACGUAGGGGGCAAGCGUUGUCCGGAUUUAUUGGGCGUAAAGAGCUCGUAGGCGGUUUGGUAAGUCUGGUGUGAAAUCUCCACGCUCAACGUGGAGGGGCCACCCGAUACUGCCAUGACUGGAGUCCGGUAGAGGAGUGUGGAAUUCCCGGUGUAGCGGUGAAAUGCGCAGAUAUCGGGAGGAACACCCGUAGCGAAGGCGGCACUCUGGGCCGGUACUGACGCUGAGGAGCGAAAGCCAGGGGAGCAAACGGG
rnacentral:rRNA from 1 species